GCACAAACAAGUCACUCUCCCCACCAUAAGGGGGAAAGGCAAGAAAAUCAGGGUGGGGACCAUCAGACCAGAUGCUUUAACCCCAGGGCAAAUGACGUCAUUGAGAAAGCCGGUGGCAGCUGAUAGGAAUUGAAAAGGUGGUGAGAAGCCCCCAAAUUUAGCAUAAAUGAUGGAGCAAAUGAUCAGACCUUCAGCCAGCCAACACUGAGCCCUCACACUGAGAGCCUGAUGGACUGACAUCCCAACACUUUUCAUUGUCUGCUGAUCCUCUGCAUCUUCCUCACCUCUCUCAAACUCUACAGCCACAUCUUGACCCUAGUGAGAGCUGCAACUUCUCCUUACGGGACUCUCUCCUCAACCGGCCAUCAGCUCCACCCCAGAGAAGCCUGCCUCAGUCCCUGACCUGAUCACUGUGGUCUGAGUGAGUGUGCAUCUGCUGGACUUAGAACCUAAGACUUGAGACUUUCGAUCUGACACUUGAACUUAGCUCGCAGAGGGAAUGUCUGU
rnacentral:lncRNA from 1 species